CUGACACAGGGAGGUAGUGACAAGAAAUAACAAUACAGGGCUACUUCUAGUCUUGUAAUUGGAAUGAGUACAACUUACAUCUCUUCACGAGGAUCAAUUGGAGGGCAAGUCUGGUGCCAGCAGCCGCGGUAAUUCCAGCUCCAAUAGCGUAUAUUAAAGUUGUUGCAGUUAAAAAGCUCGUAGUCGGAUUUCGGGUCGGGCCGAGCGGUCUGCCGAUGGGUAUGCACUGUUUGGCGCGGCCUUCUUUCCGGAGACCGCGGCUACUCUUAACUGAGCGGGCGUGGGAGACGGAUCGUUUACUUUGAAAAAUCAGAGUGUUUCAAGCAGGCAGCUCGCUCUUGCAUGGAUUAGCAUGGGAUAAUGAAAUAGGACUCUGGUGCUAUUUUGUUGGUUUCGAACACCGGAGUAAUGAUUAACAGGGACAGUCAGGGGCACUCGUAUUCCGUCGAGAGAGGUGAAAUUCUCAGACCAAUGGAAGACGAACCACUGCGAAAGCA
rnacentral:rRNA from 1 species